ensembl:snRNA U1 U1 spliceosomal RNA
AUACUUACCUGGCAGGGGAGAUACCAUGAUCACGAAGGUUGUUUUCCCAGGGUGAGGCUCAUCCAUUGCACUGCGGGUGUGCUGACCUCUGUGAUUUCCCCAAAUGCAGGAAACUCGACUGCAUAAUUUGUGGUAGUGGGGGACUGUAUUCGCGCUCUCCCCUG